rnacentral:rRNA from 1 species
UACGUAGGCAGCGAGCGUUGUUCGGAGUUACUGGGCGUAAAGGGUGCGUAGGCGGUUGUUUAAGUUUGGUGUGAAAUCUCCCGGCUCAACUGGGAGGGUGCGCCGAAUACUGAAUGACUAGAGUGCGGGAGAGGAGAGUGGAAUUCCUGGUGUAGCGGUGAAAUGCGUAGAUAUCAGGAGGAACACCGGUGGUGUAGACGGCUCUCUGGACCGUAACUGACGCUGAUGCACGAAAGCUAGGGGAGCAAACAGG